UUCACCCAUCAAUAAAGUACAGUGGAGAGAGGAAAAAAGAAAGAUCCUGAUUUCAAAUUAUUCUACUUUACUUGCAUGUUUGAAGAGUUAUCGGUGAGAGACUUGUGAUUUAUUACCAUACAACAAAACUAUUUCAUGAUAUUUCACCUUUCCUCCAGCUCUCCAGAAGCAUGUUCAUUGUGGGAGUCUUGGGAUGGAGGAAAGGAAUUGCAAGGAAAAUGGUAGAAAGAUUGUUGAAAAACAUUAAGCUGAGAAACUGCUGCUGUCCCAGAUGUGAAAAGGAGCAGUUGCAUUGAAAGCCCCUGCAACACAUCAUCUGGGUAUGUUCCCUGUCUGAGCAAAGCAUGUGCUUGCAAGUGGGAACCAAGGCAUCUCUCAGGGAUAAGAGGAAUGCCAGCUCUACCUUACAGUCUGUGUAUCUGAGGAAAUGCUGUCAUCUUCAGAUUCAGCUGUAAUAACACUCCAGCAAGUUCUUUCUUUCUCUUUGGUUUUACUGGCACUGUUUCCCCAGUACUGUUUCUGCAGACAGCUGGAGCUUUCUGCAGUUUCAGAGGCUGGAUUCAAGCUGAGAGACUUUCUGCAGAAGACUCAGACCAGGGCCCUGAUAAUGCCCAUCAUAGCAGGGGUGUUGAGGAGUCUUGAGCUGCUGGAGACGGCUCUGUGUAUGUACUACACCCUGCAAUCUGCACCAGGGUUUUUCUGACAGGGAACAGUAUCUAGGCAAUCUCUCAUUGCUUGAUAUAGGCUCGCCCAUCUUACAGGCUGCUUAAAAAUGUGAAAGCUGCUUCUAGAGCAGUGCUGAGUCUAAAGAACAAGACAGUAUAAGCAUGAUAUUUCAGCACGUUCUCAUAGUGAUAUUAAGUGGAGUUACUCGACUUACAGUGAGCUUGAAAUGAGGACAGGUCUUGUUCAGACACGUCCAUAUACUCCUGUAAACACAAAGCCUGAAAUGCAGCCAGGGAUCAAUAUGCCCUCAGCAUGACUGGAAGUUUGCAGGAGUAGAUCUUGCUAUUCUUGCUGGAAAUAGAUAUUGAUUGCCUCUGGGAAUAGACAUGGGAUGAGGGACAGAAUGUUGCAUAUGCUCCAGUUAAGAAACACGUCAGGGAUUGUUAAUCUCUGUCACAGCCAGCUUUUUAGAAAUGCUGUUGAUGAAGAAGAUGUAAUAAACACAAAGUAUCAGGGUCAAAAAUAGCAACAGCUGCUAUGAAAGAAAGGAGAAAGUAGUCUUUCUUUGCCACCUGAUAUCCUUGUUGCAACAGGCAAUCCAUUGAAAGCUCAAUCAGAUGAGUUUAUAAUGGGGCUGUCAAACCUGUGCACUGCACCCAUCAUGAUUGUUUUGGUGGAAGUGGCUGCAGGGUUAAAUGAUAUUUUAAAGUAAUUUCUGUUCAGUAUUUAUUGCUUUAUUCAUAACAGAUUUAAGACACAGAAUCUAAGUGUUCUCUUUUUGAAACAAAUCUAAGAAAUGGCCUUACAUUGCUGCUAUCCUUUCACUUACACUUCAUAAAAUAAGUUGUACCUGUUGAAAAAUUAAUGAGCCUACUUCAUUAAAUAGUGGAGACAAAUAUAUAUCAAAUGAAAUCUUCAAAUUAGAAGGUGCUUCACAGAUGGCUUGUGGCUGGUCUCUUAAAAUUGUUAAGUUCAAGGUAGGCAAUUAGCUUCAAUACAUUUUUAUGAAGUAUUCAUGGAGUUAGAUUUUAUAGUAGCAUUAGUUUUAAUUUUACCUUAAUUUAUCAUCAGACACUUCACUCAAGGACACCAGGAACUCCCCUCUACCCCUUGCCCACUUAGCAUCCUACCUGCUUAUUUUGGCAGCCUUGAAUACAUUACUCUGUCAUCUGACACACUCAAUGUCAAAUUGUUUCUGGUACAAGUGGGGAUAGCAUGAGUGCAAAAACAAGUCCAACCUCCCUUUCUCACUGUGACUGCAGAGACUGGGAGGUGAAAU